AUAUUGCGACGUAGAGAUAUCGAUAUGGUAACGCGAUACGGCGACAUGGCGAUAUGACGAUAUUUUCAGUUGUUUUAUCUGCGCAUGCCCAAACCGAAACCGAGGCCGAGGCGCCAUUUGCAAAGAAGUGAAAAACAAAUAUUGCUUUGUAGGAAGAUAGUGAUUAGACAAUGGACAUGAACCAAUUUAGGAACAGAAUUGACACAUACGAACACUGAAGGGAACACUCAGCACACUUGACCUAAGACGUUGUUUACCCGAUACAGUUCAUGAAAUAGUUACACACGCAAUUCAGUUUUCAAGACGAAUACUAUGGCUCAAAGUUGGUCGAAGUAACAAAGAUCCAUAUGUCGUAGCACAUUAUGUCCCGGAAUACGUUGAAAGUAUUGGAGGUGAUUCAGAGGCGAUCGUCUGUAUAGUAGGGGUUCCUCGUUGCAUAAGGAUGGACCGGGGAACUGAGAACGUGUUUAUUGAAGAUAUACAAAAGGCAACGAGGUGGUCCCACGUGGAUGAUAUGGCAGGCGAAAACAGUGUCUUGUGUGGAAGUUCUCACAGAAAUGAGGUGUCCAAAACGGGUCGAUGUCGAGCGUCUGAAAGGGAGAAAAAUAAAUAAUAAACCUGUCACUGUAUUACCCUAUGUUGCAUUAGGGUCCUGACAACCUCAGGUAAACCAAGUAACCAGCUCAACUUCAAAACCUAGGUUUUGAAAUGGGUGACUUUUAAACCUGCUUUGAGGUUUUACAUUUUAAUUUUAAUACAUGUAUGUAGGUUUAACAAUUUACGUUUUAUAUACUUGCCUCUCGAUAUGAACACAAUUGUAUUUGAUGAUUGGUAAAAAGUCCCAAAUCUUUUCUUUUCAUGAAAAUUCCAUAACAUAAAUCAAACCUGCAACCUCACAUACCAUGUUAAGUUUUGUAACACACUGUUUUCCCACUGAGCUUCUGGGGCAGGUGAUGAGAGGUUGUUCAAUUUUACAUGUCAUGACUCUAGCUGGUCCAUGCUGCACAUGGUUUUUGUCUUGCACGCUUUGAUCGAAUUCCUUUUAUACCGCGACACAUUGUAUUGUUUCAAUAAAAAGUAUGUCGAUAUUU